GAUGAACGCUGGCGGCGUGCCUAAUACAUGCAAGUCGAGCGAACGGACGAGAAGCUUGCUUCUCUGAUGUUAGCGGCGGACGGGUGAGUAACACGUGGAUAACCUACCUAUAAGACUGGGAUAACUUCGGGAAACCGGAGCUAAUACCGGAUGAUAUUUUGAACCGCAUGGUUCAAAAGUGAAAGACGGUCUUGCUGUCACUUAUAGAUGGAUCCGCGCUGCAUUAGCUAGUUGGUAAGGUAACGGCUUACCAAGGCAACGAUGCAUAGCCGACCUGAGAGGGUGAUCGGCCACACUGGAACUGAGACACGGUCCAGACUCCUACGGGAGGCAGCAGUAGGGAAUCUUCCGCAAUGGGCGAAAGCCUGACGGAGCAACGCCGCGUGGGUGAUGAAGGUCUUCGGAUCGUAAAACUCUGUUAUUAGGGAAGAACAUAUGUGUAAGUAACUGUGCACAUCUUGACGGUACCUAAUCAGAAAGCCACGGCUAACUACGUGCCAGCAGCCGCGGUAAUACGUAGGUGGCAAGCGUUAUCCGGAAUUAUUGGGCGUAAAGCGCGCGUAGGCGGUUUUUUAAGUCUGAUGUGAAAGCCCACGGCUCAACCGUGGAGGGUCAUUGGAAACUGGAAAACUUGAGUGCAGGAGAGGAAAGUGGAAUUCCAUGUGUAGCGGUGAAAUGCGCAGAGAUAUGGAGGAACACCAGUGGCGAAGGCGACUUUCUGGUCUGUAACUGACGCUGAUGUGCGAAAGCGUGGGGAUCAAACAGGAUUAGAUACCCUGGUAGUCCACGCCGUAAACGAUGAGUGCUAAGUGUUAGGGGGUUUCCGCCCCUUAGUGCUGCAGCUAACGCAUUAAGCACUCCGCCUGGGGAGUACGACCGCAAGGUUGAAACUCAAAGGAAUUGACGGGGACCCGCACAAGCGGUGGAGCAUGUGGUUUAAUUCGAAGCAACGCGAAGAACCUUACCAAAUCUUGACAUCCUUUGACAACUCUAGAGAUAGAGCCUUCCCCUUCGGGGGACAAAGUGACAGGUGGUGCAUGGUUGUCGCCAGCUCGUGUCGUGAGAUGUUGGGUUAAGUCCCGCAACGAGCGCAACCCUUAAGCUUAGUUGCCAUCAUUAAGUUGGGCACUCUAAGUUGACUGCCGGUGACAAACCGGAGGAAGGUGGGGAUGACGUCAAAUCAUCAUGCCCCUUAUGAUUUGGGCUACACACGUGCUACAAUGGACAAUACAAAGGGCAGCGAAACCGUGAGGUCAAGCAAAUCCCAUAAAGUUGUUCUCAGUUCGGAUUGUAGUCUGCAACUCGACUACAUGAAGCUGGAAUCGCUAGUAAUCGUAGAUCAGCAUGCUACGGUGAAUACGUUCCCGGGUCU
rnacentral:rRNA from 1 species